rnacentral:rRNA from 1 species
UAGGGAAUCUUCGGCAAUGGACGAAAGUCUGACCGAGCAACGCCGCGUGCGUGAAGAAGGUUUUCUGAUCGUAAAACUCUGUUGUUAGAGAAGAACAAGGACGUUAGUAACUGAACGUCCCCCGACGGUAUCUAACCAGAAAGCCACGGCUAACUACGUGCCAGCAGCCGCGGUAAUACGUAGGUGGCAAGCGUUGUCCGGAUUUAUUGGGCGUAAAGCGCGCGCAGGCGGUUUCUUAAGUCUGAUGUGAAAGCCCCCGGCUCAACCGGGGAGCGUCAUUGGGAACAGGGAGACUUGCGUGAAGAAGAGGAGCGUGGAAUUCCAUGUGUAGCGGUGGAAUGCGUAGAUAUAAGGAGGAACACCGGUAGCGAAGGCGGCUCUCUGGUCUGUAACUGACGCUGAGGCUCGAAAGCGUGGGGAGCAAACAGA